CUAUUUCUAGAGAUAGAAAGUUACUUCGGUACAUCGGUGACAGGUGGUGCAUGGUUGUCGUCAGCUCGUGUCGUGAGAUGUUGGGUUAAGUCCCGCAACAAGCGCAACCCCUAUUGUUAGUUGCCAUCAUUCAGUUGGGCACUCUAGCGAGACUGCCGGUAAUAAACCGGAGGAAGGUGGGAUGACGUCAAAUCAUCAUGCCCCUUAUGACCUGGGCUACACACGUGCUACAAUGGUUGGUACAACGAGUUGCGAGUCGGUGACGGCGAGCUAAUCUCUUAAAGCCAAUCUCAGUUCGGAUUGUAGGCUGCAACUCGCCUACAUGAAGUCGGAAUCGCUAGUAAUCGCGGAUCAGCAUGCCGCGGUGAAUACGUUCCCGGGCCUU
rnacentral:rRNA from 1 species